UACGGAGGGUGCGAGCGUUAAUCGGAAUUACUGGGCGUAAAGCGCAUGCAGGUGGUUUGUUAAGUCAGAUGUGAAAGCCCGGGGCUCAACCUCGGAAUUGCAUUUGAAACUGGCAGACUAGAGUACUGUAGAGGGGGGUAGAAUUUCAGGUGUAGCGGUGAAAUGCGUAGAGAUCUGAAGGAAUACCGGUGGCGAAGGCGGCCCCCUGGACAGAUACUGACACUCAGAUGCGAAAGCGUGGGGAGCAAACAGG
rnacentral:rRNA from 3 species